UACAAUACCUAAAAUAAGAAAUCGGUCAGCU
rnacentral:piRNA from 1 species